CGUAGGUGGCAAGCGUUGUCCGGAAUUAUUGGGCGUAAAGCGCGCGCAGGCGGUUCCUUAAGUCUGAUGUGAAAGCCCCCGGCUCAACCGGGGAAGGUCAUUGGAAACUGGGGAACUUGAGUGCAGAAGAGAAGAGCGGAAUUCCACGUGUAGCGGUGAAAUGCGUAGAGAUGUGGAGGAACACCAGUGGCGAAGGCGGCUCUUUGGUCUGUAACUGACGCUGAGGCGCGAAAGCGUGGGGAGCAAACAGGAUUAGAUACCCUGGUAGUCCACGCCGUAAACGAUGAGUGCUAAGUGUUAGAGGGUUUCCGCCCUUUAGUGCUGCAGCUAGCGCAUUAAGCACUCCGCCUGGGGAGUACGGCCGCAAGGCUG
rnacentral:rRNA from 1 species